UCACUCUGGCAUUGUGAACACUAAAAUUGGAAUAAUACAGAGAAGACUAGUGUGGCCUCUAAGUGGGGAUGACAAUCAAAUUCAUGAGAAUUCUGUAUUUUUU